rnacentral:rRNA from 1 species
AUUGAACGCUGGCGGCAUGCUUUACACAUGCAAGUCGAACGGCAGCGCGGGCUUCGGCCUGGCGGCUAGUGGCGAACGCGUGUGUAAUGCAUCUGAACGUGCCCCGUUGUGGGGGAUAGCCCGGCGAAAGCCGGAUUAAUAAUGCAUACGACCUGCGGGUGAAACCGGGGGACCGAAAGGCCUCUCGCUCUUGUAGCGGCCGAUGCGGGGGUAGCUAGCUGGUGGGUUAAAGGCUUACUUAGGCGACGAUCCGUAGCUGGACUGAGAGGGCGACCGGCCACACUGGGACUGGGACACGGCCCAGGCUCCUGAGAGAGGCAGCAGUGGGGAAUUGUGGACAAUGGGGGCAACCCUGAUCCAGCCAUGCGGCGUGCGAGAAGAAGGCCUUCGGGUUGUAAACCGCUUUUGUUCGGGAAGAAAUCCUCUGGGCUAAUACCCCGGGGGGAUGACGGUACCGGAUGAAUAAGCACCGGCUAACUACGUG